AUACAUCCCUGGCAGGGGCGAUACCAUGACCAUGAGGUGGUUUUCCCAGGGCGAGGCUCGCCCAUUGCUCUCCGGAUGUGCUGGCCCCUGCGCUUUCCCCAAAUGUGGGAAACUCGACUGCAUAAUUUGCGGCAGUGGGGGGCUGAGUUCGUGCCCUCCCCUG